rnacentral:rRNA from 1 species
AUGCAGGAUGAGCGGAUGGUUAAUCAAGUGCCAAUCAUUGCGCAGGCGGUGCGCUUGGACAAGACUGCGGAGGAGACCGUUGGUGGGCCCGAGGAGAUAAGGCUACAGGCUGUCCGGUCGGCCAGGAUCAUGGACGUGCCUUUGGUUUGUUCUUUUGAGGGAUCGCCAGCUGUCGCGGCCCCCACGCCCAACACCCCACCCGAGGGGCCGGUGGGACCAGAGUGCACGGUAGACACGGAUGGUGCAAUGAUUGUGAGGGCGGUGAACCACAUGCGUAUUGGGCCCGUGCCCCCCACAUCGGAUCCGAUGCUGGCCCCACCUGGGCAGAUCGAGGAGCAGGCGAUGCGUGCUGGUUUGGCCGAGACAGGUGCACUGUCCAAGGUGGAUGGUGGGUUGGUCCCAAUGAUUGGCGUAGAUCCCCAGGCAGGAGGGGAAGUGAUGGAAACCGGACAUGUGGCGGCCAUGCAGGAGGGCAUGGCUAACCAGCUCAUUCCGCACGUAACUUGCAACAUGCAGAGCGACUUUGGGGCAUGCAACGCUGGUAUGAAGCCACAGGAGAUCGCGGCCUUUGGUAAAUUGAAGUGGUUUUGCAACACACUUGUACGGAAGCUGGCGCCCCCUCUCCUUCAGGAAGUGCAAUCGUCCCUGAGACUAGAAGCAGAGCCCUUCACGCCGUGCCGCACCACUAGAGGGGCCAAACGAGCGAUGUCCUCGCUCCCCACGAAGGCCACCCAGGCAGAAAACAUGCUCAUGAGAGCACUCGGACUAGUCCCGGAACAUCUAGAAGGUAAUGAUGAUACCAUUGCAGAGCUUGCGGAGAUAUUUGACUCUCCUCUCCGCGAGCAGCACAUCAAGGUUAUUGCGGCCUUGUUCGGGAAGGAUGUUCCACCGGCUUGUGAGCUUAGGGCAGGCAACACGGUGAUGGUGAGCUCAGCUUGA